AGUGGAUGGGGAGCAACCUAGUUGUGCGUGUGUAAAGGUAGUGCCAAGAAAAGCGGUGAUCAUGAUGAAAAUCAAUUCCCGGUACCCGAAACCGACACAGGUGGGCAAGUAGAGAAUACUAAGGGGCGCGAGGUAACUCUCUCCAAGGAACUCGGCAAAAUGACCCCGUAACUUAGGGAGAAGGGGUGCCACCGAGAGGUGGUCGCAGUGAAGAGGCCCAGGCGACUGUUUAGCAAAAACAUAGGUCUCUGCAAACUCGAAAGAGGAGGUAUAGGGGCUGACGCCUGCCCAGUGCCGGAAGGUUAAAGAAGUUGGUCAGUCUUAGGAUAAAGCUAGCGACUGAAGCCCCGGUGAACGGCGGCCGUAACUAUAACGGUCCUAAGGUAGCGAAAUUCCUUGUCGGGUAAGUUCCGACCCGCACGAAAGGCGUAACGAUCUGGGCGCUGUCUCGGAGAGAGGCUCGGCGAAAUAGGAUUGUCUGUGAAGAUACGGACUACCUGCAUUUGGACAGAAAGACCCUAUGAAGCUUUACUAUAGCUUGGAAUUGUGUUCGGGCUUCCUGUGCGCAGGAUAGGUGGGAGGCGUAGAAGGUAUUCUUGUGGGGAUACUGGAGCGAACGGUGAGAUACCACUCUCAGGAGGCUAGAAUUCUAACUUAAUUAAGGACAGUUUCAGGUGGGUAGUUUGACUGGGGCGGUCGCCUCCAAAAAGGUAACGGAGGCGUACAAAGGUUCCCUCAGACUGGUUGGAAAUCAGUCGCAGAGUGCAAAGGCAGAAGGGAGCUUGACUGCGAGAAGUACAGUUCGAGCAGGGUGGAAACACGGUCUUAGUGAUCCGACGGUGCUGUGUGGAAGGGCCGUCGCUCAACGGAUAAAAGUUACUCUAGGAUAACAGGCUGAUCUCCCCCAAGAGUUCACAUCGACGGGGAGGUUUGGCACCUCGAUGUCGGCUCAUCGCAACCUGGGGCGGAAGUACGUCCCAAGGGUUGGGCUGUUCGCCCAUUAAAGCGGUACGUGAGCUGGGUUCAGAACGUCGUGAGACAGUUCGGUCCAUAUCCGAUGUAGGCGUGAGAAUAUUGAGAGGAGCCUUCCUUAGUACGAGAGGACCGGGAAGGACGCACCGCUGGUGUACCUGUUAUGAUGCCAAUUGUAAACGCAGGGUAGCCAAGUGCGGAGAGGAUAACCGCUGAAAGCAUCUAAGUGGGAAGCCCACCUCAAGAUGAGUAUUCUGGUGUAAGGUCACGGGAAGACGACCCGUAAAUAGGCACGAGGUGGAAGUGCAGAGAUGUAUGAAGCCGAAGUGUACUAAUAGACCGUCGGCUUGACC
rnacentral:rRNA from 1 species